rnacentral:misc_RNA from 1 species
UUUUACUUUGAAACUUUGAAACUUUUACAAUACGAAACGAAGAAAUAUGAAUGAAUAAAGUUAUACGUCUCAGUGCUAUUAUGAUUUGUCUUUCCAUUGGUGAUUUUGCGAAACAGACAAAACAUUUCAUCUACAAGCAAUAAAUUAACGUAAAGUAACGUUAGUAAUUUCCAAAUAUUAAGUGCUAAGAAUAAUACAAGAAGGCACAAAAUGAAAGGAAGUCAAGAACGAAAUCAAGAUCCUUUGGAAAGAGCAAAACGAACGCGUACUAACGCCAAAUGAUGAAACCUUUUACUUUGAAACUUUGAAACUUUUACUAUACGAAACGAAGAAAUAUGAAUGAAUAAAGUUAUACGUCUCAGUGCUAUUAUGAUUUGUCUUUCCAUUGGUGAUUUUGCGAAACAGACAAAACACCCCCUACUGGGGCUAAAGUUAAUAGCGUCGCUUUUUCGAAGUCGUCAGUUAAUAUGUCUCCGUUAUGUCCCUCUAGCGGUGGAAUAGUGUAGUCGCGUGUUCGUCCUGUCAUUGUGCGUAGUGUCUGGUGGUACUUGUGUUGGUCGUGCUUAUGUGUCAAAAGGUGUUGGAUGUGUUGUCGCUUCAGCCUUUUGUUCAUCGAUGUCACUUUGUUUCGUUGAUAUUUCCAUUGGUCCCAGUCGUAGGCAGUCUGAGUUUGUUUGGCUCGUCUGAACAGUCUAUCGCGUUUCCUUAUUUGUGUUUUUAGGUCGUUUG